ensembl:lncRNA
CAAAACCAUGUGCAUCAAAGAUUGGGCAUAAUAUGCAGGAAGGAGGAUAUUAUUGGUUGGCACGGUUAAGCCAAUCAUCGGAGACGUGUUUUCUUGUCCCACAUUCAGUUUCAGUUUACCAGAAAUCGCUUUCGUUACUCAGUAUUGAAAGUAUAUGUCAUGCGACAAAGGACACUUGGCUAUUUACUACGGGUGAAUAGUGCCUCAAGAUUCUAACUACUGUCUCUCCGAUUCUCGGUGCCAGUGUUUUAACUGGGUAGUGGCAGCGACGUGUUAUUGUACACAUUUGAUAGCGGCGGGCAAGGCAAUGUCAAGGACAAUGCUCAAGGAGCAAAUUAAGAAACACUCACCUUAUGCUGAAUCUGUCCUCACAAAGAUUGGACUUACAAAUGACACUGACAUUCAAGAUUUAUCAAGAGAAGAUCUGAAUGAACUUCUGCCAGGCCUUGAACAUUUUAAACUUAGAAAGGAGAUCAGUCAAAUUAUAAACAAAUCUAAACAGGACCAGGCUAAAACUAUUGAUUCAAUUCUAAAUGAGCUGAAGGAAUUUCUUCCAGCUGAUGUCAUGAGGAGUGCACUUGUUCCUGGGGGAGUGUUGCAUGGCUACUUACCUGUUCUUAAAGAUUUGAAGGAGGACCUUUCUAGAGCCCUGCACUUCUUUGAGGCACUAAUUAAACUGCUUGAGAGUUACAACCAAGGAAAACCAACAAAGGCUGUGCUGAGUGGUGUUACCCAAUCAGAUGACGCUACCACAGAAGGAAGCCAAAUGUCAUAUGCAGGCAAGGCAAUGUCAAGGACAAUGCUCAAGGAGCAAAUUAAGAAACACUCACCUUAUGCUGAAUCUGUCCUCACAAAGAUUGGACUUACAAAUGACACUGACAUUCAAGAUUUAUCAAGAGAAGAUCUGAAUGAACUUCUGCCAGGCCUUGAACAUUUUAAACUUAGAAAGGAGAUCAGUCAAAUUAUAAACAAAUCUAAACAGGACCAGGCUAAAACUAUUGAUUCAAUUCUAAAUGAGCUGAAGGAAUUUCUUCCAGCUGAUGUCAUGAGGAGUGCACUUGUUCCUGGGGGAGUGUUGCAUGGCUACUUACCUGUUCUUAAAGAUUUGAAGGAGGACCUUUCUAGAGCCCUGCACUUCUUUGAGGCACUAAUUAAACUGCUUGAGAGUUACAACCAAGGAAAACCAACAAAGGCUGUGCUGAGUGGUGUUACCCAAUCAGAUGACGCUACCACAGAAGGAAGCCAAACGUCAUAUGCAGGCAAGGCAAUGUCAAGGACAAUGCUCAAGGAGCAAAUUAAGAAACAUUCAACUUAUGCAGAAUCUGUCCUCACAAAGAUUGGACUUACAAAUGACACUGACAUUCAAGAUUUAUCAAGAGAAGAUCUGAAUGAACUUCUGCCAGGCCUUGAACAUUUUAAACUUAGAAAGGAGAUCAG